GAUGAAGAACGUAGCGAAAUGCGAUAAGUAAUGUGAAUUGCAGAAUUCAGUGAAUCAUCGAAUCUUUGAACGCAUCUUGCGCUCCUUGGUAUUCUGAGGAGCAUGCCUGUUUGAGUGUCAUUAAAUUCUCAACUACACUGACUUUGAAUUGGUGUGGCUUGGAUUUGGGGGGAAAAUUGUUGUGGGCUUUUUGUAUAGUCUGCUCCCCUGAAAUUGAUUAGCGGUACCUUUGUGGAACUGUCUACAGGUGUGAUAAUUAUCUACAUCUUAGACAUCUGCUGGAAUGCUGCUUUCUAAACCUUACUUGUAUUGACAAUCUUGACCUCAAAUCAGGUAGGACUACCCGCUGAACUUAAGUAUAUCAAUAAGCGGAGGA
rnacentral:misc_RNA from 1 species